GACGAACGCUGGCGGCGUGCUUAACACAUGCAAGUCGAACGAUGAAGGAGGAGCUUGCUCCUCUGGAUUAGUGGCGAACGGGUGAGUAACACGUGAGCAAUCUGCCCUUGACUCUGGGAUAAGCGCUGGAAACGGCGUCUAAUACCGGAUACGACCCUCGGAGGCAUCUCCUGUGGGUGGAAAGAACUUCGGUCAAGGAUGAGCUCGCGGCCUAUCAGCUUGUUGGUGAGGUAAUGGCUCACCAAGGCGACGACGGGUAGCCGGCCUGAGAGGGGGACCGGCCACACGGGGACUGAGACACGGCCCAGACUCCUACGGGAGGCAGCAGUGGGGAAUAUUGCACAAUGGGCGCAAGCCUGAUGCAGCAACGCCGCGUGAGGGACGACGGCCUUCGGGUUGUAAACCUCUUUUAGCAGGGAAGAAGCGAGAGUGACGGUACCUGCAGAAAAAGCACCGGCUAACCACGUGCCAGCCGCCGCGGUAACAC
rnacentral:rRNA from 1 species